rnacentral:snRNA from 1 species
AUCGCUUCUCGGCCUUUUGGCUAAGAUCAAGUGUAGUAUCUUUUAUGAAAAGCUUAAGCUUUACCAAAAGCUUAAGCAACAAAACUAAAACAUUGAUAAACUAGAAAUCAAU